GUACUCUGACAGUACAUAUGCUAAAAUUAGAAUGAUAGAGAGAAAAUUAGCAUGUCCUCUUGUAAGAUGAUAUGUAUUCUAUAUUUAAAAAAAUAUUU
ensembl:snRNA U6 U6 spliceosomal RNA